CCUACGGGUGGCAGCAGUGGGGAAUAUUGGACAAUGGGCGAAAGCCUGAUCCAGCCAUGCCGCGUGUGUGAAGAAGGCCUUCGGGUUGUAAAGCACUUUCAGUGGGGAAGAAAGCCUUGGGGCUAAUACCCUCGAGGAAGGACAUCACCCACAGAAGAAGCACCGGCUAACUCCGUGCCAGCAGCCGCGGUAAUACGGAGGGUGCGAGCGUUAAUCGGAAUUACUGGGCGUAAAGCGCGCGUAGGCGGUCUGAUAAGCCGGUUGUGAAAGCCCCGGGCUCAACCUGGGAACGGCAUCCGGAACUGUCAGGCUAGAGUGCAGGAGAGGAAGGUAGAAUUCCCGGUGUAGCGGUGAAAUGCGUAGAGAUCGGGAGGAAUACCAGUGGCGAAGGCGGCCUUCUGGACGGACACUGACGCUGAGGUGCGAAAGCGUGGGUAGCAAACAGGAUUAGAUACCCUGGUAGUC
rnacentral:rRNA from 1 species